rnacentral:tRNA from 1 species
GGCUCUAUGGUUUAUAAUUAUAAAAUGUUAAAUUGCAAAUUUAAAGAAAGAAUUUUUCUUAGAGCUU